rnacentral:rRNA from 1 species
AACGGUCUUUUAGGAGACAGUGGCGGACGGGUGAGUAACGCGUAAGAAUCUACCCUCAGGUCGGGGACAACCACUGGAAACGGUGGCUAAUACCGGAUGUGCCGAGAGGUGAAAGGCUUGCUGCCUGGGGAAGAGCUUGCGUCUGAUUAGCUAGUUGGUAGUGUAAGGGACUACCAAGGCGACGAUCAGUAGCUGGUCUGAGAGGAUGAUCAGCCACACUGGGACUGAGACACGGCCCAGACUCCUACGGGAGGCAGCAGUGGGGAAUUUUCCGCAAUGGGCGAAAGCCUGACGGAGCAAUACCGCGUGAGGGAGGAAGGCUCUUGGGUUGUAAACCUCUUUUCUCAGGGAAGAAAAAAAUGACGGUACCUGAGGAAUAAGCAUCGGCUAACUCCGUGCCAGCAGCCGCGGUAAUACGGAGGAUGCAAGCGUUAUCCGGAAUGAUUGGGCGUAAAGGGUCCGCAGGUGGCAUUGUAAGUCUGCUGUUAAAGAGUUUGGCUCAACCAAAUAAAAGCAGUGGAAACUACAAAGCUAGAGUUUGGUCGGGGCAGAGGGAAUUCCUGGUGUAGCGGUGAAAUGCGUAGAUAUCAGGAAGAACACCAGUGGCGAAGGCGCUCUGCUAGGCCGAGACUGACACUGAGGGACGAAAGCUAGGGGAGCGAAUGGGAUUAGAUACCCCAGUAGUCCUAGCCGUAAACGAUGGAUACUAGGCGUAGCUCGUAUCGACCCGAGCUGUGCCGGAGCUAACGCGUUAA